GCCCAGACUCCUACGGGAGGCAGCAGUGGGGAAUAUUGCACAAUGGGGGAAACCCUGAUGCAGCGACGCCGCGUGGGUGAAGGGGUACUUCGGUACGUAAAGCCCUAUCAGCAGGAAAGAAAAUGACGGUACCUGACUAAGAAGCCCCGGCUAACUACGUGCCAGCAGCCGCGGUAAUACGUAGGGGGCAAGCGUUAUCCGGAUUUACUGGGUGUAAAGGGAGCGUAGACGGCAGUGCAAGUCCGGAGGGAAAGCCCGGGGCUCAACCCUGGGACUGCUCUGGAAACUGUAAAGCUGGAGUGCGGGAGGGGCAGGCGGAAUUCCUGGUGUAGCGGUGAAAUGCGUAGAUAUCAGGAGGAACACCGGUGGCGAAGGCGGCCUGCUGGACUGCAACUGACGUUGAGGCCCGAAAGCGUGGGGAGCAAACAGGAUUAGAUACCCCAGUAGU
rnacentral:rRNA from 1 species